rnacentral:piRNA from 1 species
UAAGAGCUGUAAGGUGUGUUGCCCAA